GCAGAGAGCGCGAGAGAGAGAGAGAGAGAGUAGAGGGGGCUGUGUUCUCCCUGGCAUCUCCAUCUUAUAAGUCCUCAUCCGCUCAGUGCGUCCAUACACACAAACACACCCAUACAGAGAGAGAAGACAACCGUGAGGAUUACAGCACCUACAGUGCAGUAAUACAGUACACCUCAGUACAGUGCGGGGCGGGACAAGCUUUCAGUCGGAGCAGCAAGUGUCUCCAGAGAGGAAAUAGUGCAUUGUGUGGGAGAUGACAGAUCCUUUGCAACAGAAUGGACCAUCGUGCAGGGAGAGGAACAACUACAGACAGCUGCCUUCUUCAAACAACAGCUACUUUUGACCUACAUCUGCAUCCAAUUAGCAACACGAGGCUCACCGCUCCGUAUUACACAACAUCACAAGGAUCUUUUUUCCAUAUCCAACAUGUCUUGUAAUGCAUGUUUCAAGCUUAACAUGCUGUCUAUCAAAUCGGAUGACUUGUUGAGUUGAGGACUGCACUCAGAAACUGAUUUCAUUUGGUGACAUAGAUGUUUGUACCCAGUCUCUAGCACCAUAUGAAAUCAGUGUUUUGGGAGGUGGACUAUCAGCAUGUGCAGACGUUGUAUAUGAAUAAACUGAAAUAUGAGAUGUUCUUGUGAUACCAAAAAGUAGGUCACAUUUGUAUAAAUUACUCUCCUACUUCAUUCACUGGUCACAGGUGCAACCUGCUUCUUAUUAAAUCUGUUUCUCCAUCUUUGUGUCUCUGACUCAAACAUACAUGCAUCAUGAAUCCACUUUCACUGAUAAAUUCUGAACCCAUAAGCUUUGUUGUUUUCUGAAGCCCAAAGCGGCCAUCUAUUCAAAUAUUUUUUUUAUUCUGUUUUCCCAUGUUAAGGGAUAAUUAUCUCGAGAUAACGAAUAUUGUUUUCCUGUGAUAACGGGAUAAUUUUCUCAAGAUAUCAAGAUAAUGAAACAGUAGUUUAACACAAACACACCCAUAUAUCACAAUGGUUUAAUUGUAAUUUCAGUGUGAAUGUUAGUGUUACUGGUUAGCCCAGUUGGUAGAGCACAUAACUCAUAUUCUUAGUGUUGUUGGUUUGAUCCUCACUGAACACCAACUUUUUAUUCUUUUAUUUUUUUCAUAAUCCUCUUCAAGAAAGUUCAUAUGGAGAGACUGUUUCACAUGCUCACAAAAAAGCAUGUGCUGGACUGUGUGCAUCCCAGGGAUUGGUCUACAUCCAUCAACCUAUGUACUUUUCAUUUCCCCAUCAUUCCCAGGCAGACGAAAUUCCUGCUUCUCAUUCAGGGGAAUGUUUCACAUUCUUGACUGCUAUUUCAGAACCUUUGAAAUAACCAUGGAAAUGUAUGAAUGGAUUCCCUUGAAUCUCUUCAUAACAACUUUGUUGAAGAGGAUAAUAAAAAACACACAAAAGAAGAAAAAAGUUGUUAAAAGCAGGGGUCAAACACACAAUCUUGGAUUACAAGUCCUGUGCACUACCAACUGAGCUAACAAGUCACACUGAAAAGUACUAAUCCUAAAGAAAUACACAGGUUGACCCCUGUAUUCAGCAAUGUUUUGUUAUCUCAAGAUCCCAAGAUAAUUAUCCUGUUAUCACAGGAAAACUGUAAACUUUAAUAAAAAUUUAAUGGAUGGCUGCUUAGGGCUUCCGUAGUUGUUUAAUAUAUAAUAUUUAAGUCUUCCUGAACAGUGGCCAUAACUGCCAAUUAAGAGAUGAUGGUGAAUGCAAAAGCAUUGUGUAAGUAGUAAGUAGAGAAAUCAGAAUUGGUGAUGUAAGUUACACAAGAAUACCUAAAGUUUGCUAACAUUAGCCACCAUAUGUCGAUAUGUUAUGACCACCAGCUAAUUGUCAUAACAUAUCAAGUAAGGCUGUAGCAGCAAAGCCCCUGAGUGUAGCUGUAGUGCCUUUGAAUUCAACUUUUCCUUUAUAAGCGGAAGAAAACAGCCUUUUGUAUUUUAAAAGCUAGUCUCACACUGCAGUGAGGUUUCAGAUUGCAACCACCUCUCCAAGCGUGUACUCCUGCAUGUGCUCGAACUAAGAGCGAGCACUCCACAUCGGCCAAAACAGAGACUGACCUACAAGAGAUGGCAUCACACGAAAUGCUGGAAACUCAGGCAAACUCCCACUACAACGUUACAGUAAUAUUUUAACAGCUUGACAUUGAACUAAUCCAUUAUGGUUGUGUGAUUGUACGUUACAUUAGCUUGCCUGCCGGGUUUUUAAUAACUAUUUGUGUAUCAUUUACGGAGAGGCUCAGCAAUGUCAGCACAGCUAAAUGUAUUGGAUGAAACUGUUAGUGAGCUAGACUUAGUAUUAUAAAUGAGAUUGUUGCCAAACUUUGGUAUAACAAUUAGACCGCAGUAAGUAACAUUACUCUAGUGAAUGGGUCUUCCACCAUGUUGUUGUGUUGCACUUUUAUGUUGCAUUAUUGUAUAUUAUGUGGAUCAUGUAAAUUACAGCGAUUGAGACCGGCGAAUCUGAGAUCCGUGCUAGUCUAGCUAGCUGGCCCUGCCUUGCAUCACUGUUGGCUUGUAUAAACUGUUCCACAUUUGCUUUGUACUGUUACAUUAUUUCUUGCAGGCUAAAAUCAACACUCUGACAUAAUACUGAUGAUACACAGGAUAGUAAUAUAGGUCGCGUUAGCUAGUGAAGUAAAGUGGCAAACGAUACAACUAUAAUAUUUUUCAAUGGAUAACUUUAGCAACGGGGCGACAUUAAGGCCGGUAAGCUAAUGUUAGCAAACUCGAGCCAACUAAAACACAAAAUCAGAAUAUAUUCACAUGCUUUGUGGUAAUGUUAGUUUACCUGUCCAAUAGGAUGAAAAUCAACUCUGGGUCGUUUUUUUUUUUAUUUAAAACAAAACGGGGUCUCUCCGUGACUCAAACAUCUUUCCUAUGUUGACCUGAAUUUUCCCUCGACUUUGAUCUGAUAGGAAAUGAAAAAGUGAUUGAUUUAAUUUUAAAAAUCGCUGACAUAAGUCUGUUACCACCUACUUGCAUGCUUUUUAGAUUGUAUUAAAACAAACAAGUGUAAGUGACAAUACUUUAUACAGUUUUGGGGCACUCAACAGUUGCUAUACAUAUUUAUGAAAUUUACUUGUAUUUCGAUGUAAUAAACAUGUAAAAUAAUAUUUAGAUGUUUGUCCUUAAACCAUGUCGGAUAAAAUAACUACAUUUCAAUAAAGCUUUUCAGUGCAGCUACCUGCAGCUACCUCACA